rnacentral:rRNA from 1 species
UACGUAGGGGGCAAGCGUUGUCCGGAAUCAUUGGGCGUAAAGCGCGCGUAGGCGGCCCGGUAAGUCCGUUGUGAAAGUCAAAGGCUCAACCUUUGAACGCCGAUGGAUACUGCCGGGCUAGAGUCCGGAAGAGGCGAGUGGAAUUCCUGGUGUAGCGGUGGAAUGCGCAGAUAUCAGGAGGAACACCGAUGGCGAAGGCAGGUCACUGGGCCGCAACUGACGCUGAGGAGCGAAAGCAUGGGGAGCGAACAGGG